rnacentral:rRNA from 1 species
GACGAACGCUGGCGGCGUGCUUAACACAUGCAAGUCGAACGGAAAGGCCCUGCUUUUGUGGGGUGCUCGAGUGGCGAACGGGUGAGUAACACGUGAGUAACCUGCCCUUGACUUUGGGAUAACUUCAGGAAACUGGGGCUAAUACCGGAUAGGAGCUCCUGCUGCAUGGUGGGGGUUGGAAAGUUUCGGCGGUUGGGGAUGGACUCGCGGCUUAUCAGCUUGUUGGUGGGGUAGUGGCUUACCAAGGCUUUGACGGGUAGCCGGCCUGAGAGGGUGACCGGCCGCAUUGGGACUGAGAUACGGCCCAGACUCCUACGGGAGGCAGCAGUGGGGAAUAUUGCACAAUGGGCGGAAGCCUGGUGCAGCAACGCCGCGUGCGGGAUGACGGCCUUCGGGUUGUAAACCGCUUUCGCCUGUGACGAAGCGUGAGUGACGGUAAUGGGUAAAGAAGCACCGGCUAACUACGUG